rnacentral:rRNA from 1 species
AGUGCCUAUAGCAUACUGGAAUCACACCAAUCCAUGCCGAACUCGGUUGAUAACUGCUGUAGUGGCAAUAAUACUUAAGAAGAAGCUGUUUGCUAAAGUAACUCAGUUCCAAAGUU